ensembl:lncRNA novel transcript
AGAGAAGUGGGUGACUUAGGAGUAUCCUCUCCACUUCUGACCCUUAGUUUCGUCUGUGCACAACUCGCUCAAAAUGGGCAACUCAUUAAGCGUAUUUUGUUCCUGGUUCCGCCGCAGGUCCUGGCCACGCCAUCGGCAACCUGCUCGUCUUGUCCGUGAGGCCUUCCCAGCUGGCCGGGCUCACCCCGCGGCUCCUGCACCCGUGCCUGCCCGGGGCAUCUGGGGCCAUUCCCCACUCCUCUUCAACCGUCAGCGACAUCUUGGGCCUUCUUUUCCAGUCAGCUGGGACGGCGCCCUUAUGAGGCUGUGUCUUAUCCCUUGGAACACGGACACCCCACAGAGUCCUGCCUCCUGUAGUCUGGAGCGCCCCCUCAAGGAAGAAACCCGUGCUAUCUGCUCGUAACUCCAUGAUGUUUGGACACCUCAGCCCCGUGAGGAACCCUCGUCUCAGAGGCAAGUUUAACCUUCAACUUCCUUCAUUAGAUGAGCAGGUGAUCCCAACCAGGCUCCCGAAGAUGGAGGUGAGGGCAGAAGAGCCCAAAGAAGCAACGGAGGUGAAAGACCAGGUAGAGACCCAGGGGCAGGAGGACAAUAAAACGGGCCCCUGUAGCAAUGGGAAAGCAGCCUCCACCUCUAGGCCCCUGGAGACUCAGGGAAACCUCACUUCCUCCUGGUACAAUCCCAGGCCCUUGGAGGGAAAUGUCCACCUCAAGAGCUUGACAGAAAAGAACCAGACUGACAAGGCCCAGGUGCAUGCAGUGAGUUUCUACUCCAAGGGCCAUGGAGUCACCAGUUCACACAGCCCUGCUGGAGGCAUCCUUCCCUUUGGGAAGCCUGACCCACUUCCAGCAGUGCUCCCUGCCCCUGUUCCGGACUGCUCCCUGUGGCCAGAGAAGGCAGCCUUGAAGGUGCUGGGUAAAGACCACCUGCCUAGCUCUCCAGGCUUGCUGAUGGUGGGGGAGGACAUGCAGCCCAAGGAUCCUGCAGCUCUUAGAUCAAGUAGGUCUUCUCCACCCAGAGCUGCCGGCCACAGGCCCCGCAAAAGAAAACUGUCGGGGCCACCGCUGCAGCUGCAACAGACCCCUCCCCUGCAACUGAGGUGGGAUAGAGACGAGGGGCCCCCACCAGCUAAGCUUCCAUGUCUAUCUCCUGAGGCACUGUUGGUGGGUAAGGCUUCCCAAAGAGAAGGACGCCUCCAGCAGGGCAACAUGCGUAAGAACGUGAGAGUGUUAAGUAGAACAUCAAAAUUCAGGAGACUAAGACAGCUGCUUAGGAGGAGAAAGAAGAGAUGGCAGGGCAGGCGUGGUGGCUCACGCCUGUAAUCCAGCACUUUGGGAGGCCCAGGCGGAUGGAUCAGGAGGUCAAGAGAUUAAGACCUGAGGAGCAUCUCUGCCUGCACCAUCUGGGAAGUGAGGAGCGCCUCUGCCCACCUGCUCCACCGUCUGGGAAGUGAGGAGCACCUCUGCCCAGCUGCCCCACCGUCUGGGCAGUGAAGAGCGCCUCUGCCCGGCCCCCGCCCUGUCUGGGAAGUGACGAGUGCCUCUGCCCAACCGCCUCACAGUCUGGGAAGUGAGAAGCGCCUCUACCCAGGCCCUGCCCCGUCUGGGCAGUGAGGAGUGCCUCUGCCCGGCCCCCUUACACUCUGGGAAGUGAGGAGCGCUUCUGCCUGGCCAGUGCCCUGUCUGGGAAGUGAGAAGCACCUCUGCCCAGCUGCCCACCAUCUGGGAAUUGAGGAGGAGCACUGCCUCUGCCCAGCCUCCACCCCAUCUGGGAAGUGACAAGCAACUCUGCCCGGCCGCCUCACAGUAUGGGAAGUGAGGAGCGCCUCUGCCCAGCUGCCGCCCUGUUUGGAAAGUAAGGAGCGCCUCUGCCUCACCGCCGUCCUGUCUGCAAAGUGAGGAGUGCCUCUGCCCGGCCUCCUCACCGUCUGGGAAAUGAGGAGCGCCUCUGCCUGGCCACCGUCCCAUCUGGGAAGUGAGGAGUGCUUCUGCCCAGCCGCCACCCUGUCUGGAAAGUGAGGAACACCUCUGCCCGGCCCCCUCACUGUUUGUAAGGGAGGAGCACCUCUGCCCAGCCCCUGCACCAUCUGGGAAGUGAGGAGCGUCUCUGCCCAGCUGCUGUGCAACCUUCCAAGUGUGAAGUGACGGCCUUGUGUGUGAUCUUUCUGCCCUCCCCAAGUUUGCAUUUUCGACAUUAAAGUUUACUUUUUAGUUAAAAAAAGGAGAUCGAGACCAUUCUGGCCAACAUGGUGAAACUCCGUCUCUACUGAAAAUACAAAAAUUAGGCGGGCACAGUGGCUUGUGCCUGUAGUCCCAGCUACUCGGGAGGCUGAGGCAGGAGAAUGGCUUGAACCCAGGAGGUGGAGGUUGUAGUGAGCCGAGAUCACACCACUGCACUCCAGCCUGGUGACAGAGCAAGACUCCAUCCUGAAACGAUGUUGUAGUUGAGAGCAUGAUGGUCUUUUGGGACAGGAGGAACAAGAGGUUCUGGUUGCCACUCUUCAAUCAGUUCUUCUUUUUCCUUGACUGUAAGGUCAGAUCUUUCUUGUAAUUUGUAAGUCUUAAAGAAGUCUGAUUAUCCAGAGUAUCAGAAUCCCUUCCAAAAUAAGAUGGUAAGCAGGAGCCUCGUAAAGCGCCUGUACCAUCUCCACCAGAACCCACUGCUCCGUGGCAGUCGCCAUAGUUAGCCGCUUCCUUCCAUACGCUGUCUCAUUUCUAUCUCACUGUUCAGCUUAGCUGCUGUCCAGACAAAUGUUUCUCAAAAUUUGAGUCACCUAUAGACCCAAGCAAAGGGAAGAAAAAAGAAAAAGACAAAAGAAAAAUCUAUGCAUUUUAGUUUGUGAGAUGCUGGUGUAAGGACUGUAAGCCCCAUUCGAGGACAAUGUCUUGUAAAUUUUUAAUUAUCUCAGCAAAAAAAAUUAGAAGUUUUAUGUUUUGGAAUGGCAAAAUAACUGAGAUUAAUAUCACAAUGGAGUUCAAAUUUUCAAAUUCUCAUAAAACAUAUCAACAUCCAAGAAUAUACCUACAGAUAUACCUGUCUUUGGAUCUCAAUGUGAGAAACAAUAAACCAGGAUAAAUAGAAGUGUGGGGCCAAGAUCAAGAGGAGGGCACAGUAACCUCUGGGUGUUAAGUAGAAAGGACAAACGGCCAAUGAGAAAAGGAUGGAGAUAGCACAAAACUGGGAAGAUCUACGAUUGUAAUCUCAUGCCUGUCUCUUGACAUGCUUGUAUUUUUAUGUUACAAACCAUCUUUCAACUUUCUUUUAUUCUCAUUCAAAUGUUUUCAGUGUUUAUUCAGCACUUAUUUCAGUGAGAACAUGUAUUUAAUCUGGCAUUCACUUAUUCAAUUAAUUUUUAUUGAGGGCCAACUGUGUGCCUGGCUAGGAGUAGAGGGUACAACCAUGAAGAAGACAAAAAAUCAAAACAGACACAGGGUUUUCUUUUAUGGAUCCAGUGGGAGAGAAACAUAUCAGAAAGACAAUAAAACAAAAAAAAAUGUUUUCUUAAAGA